UCCGUAGGUGAACCUGCGGAAGGAUCAUUAUUGAAUUCAAAUCAUCUGUGGGUUCGGUCCGGAUGUGCCAACAGGUAACACUGUUGGUAAUUCUAUCCAUAACACCUGUGAACUGUUGGAUGCUUGCAUCCACUUUUAUACUAAACAUUAUUGUAACAAAUGUAGUCUUAUUAUAACUAAUAAAACUUUUAACAACGGAUCUCUUGGGUCUCGCAUCGAUGAAGAACGCAGCGAAAUGCGAUAAGUAAUGUGAAUUGCAGAAUUCAGUGAAUCAUCGAAUCUUUGAACGCACCUUGCGCUCCUUGGUAUUCCGAGGAGCAUGCCUGUUUGAGUGUCAUGAAACUCUCAAACCCAAGUUUUGGAUUUCGAUCCAUGCUUGAGUUUGGAUUUGGAUGUUUGCCGGUGAUAAGCCGACUCAUCUUAAAAGUAUUAGCUAGAUCUGUCUCUAUGACUGGUUUGACUUGGGAUAAUAAGUAUUUUGCUGAGGACAUCUUCGGAUGGGCAGGACCUAGACUAUUGUCUGCUAACUAAACCAUCACUUUAAGUGCAUCUUCGGAUGUUACUCAUUGUGUAACUUUGACAUCUGGGCUCAAAUCAGGUAGGACUACCCGCUGAACUUAAGCAUAUCAAUAAGCGGAGGA
rnacentral:rRNA from 1 species